UACGGGGGGGGCAAGCGUUGUUCGGAAUUACUGGGCGUAAAGCGCACGUAGGCGGAUUGUUAAGUCGGGGGUGAAAUCCUGGAGCUCAACUCCAGAAUUGCCUUCGAUACUGGCUUUCUAGAGGCUGGAAGAGGUUAGUGGAAUUCCCAGUGUAGAGGUGAAAUUCGUAGAUAUUGGGAAGAACACCAGUGGCGAAGGCGGCUAACUGGUCCAGAUCUGACGCUGAGGUGCGAAAGCGUGGGGAGCAAACAGG
rnacentral:rRNA from 1 species